CAAUUGGAGAGUUUGAUCCUGGCUCAGAGCGAACGCUGGCGGCGUGCCUAACACAUGCAAGUCGUACGAGAAAGCCUUCGGGCGAGUAAAGUGGCGAACGGGUGAGUAACACGUGAGCAACCUGCCUUUGGAUUCGGGAUAACUCCUCGAAAGGGGGGCUAAUACCGGAUAAGACCACGGAGUCGAAUGGCUCAGGGGUAAAAGAUGGCCUCUUCAUGAAAGCUAUCGUCCAAAGAUGGGCUCGCGGUCCAUUAGCUUGUUGGUGGGGUAACGGCUCACCAAGGCGACGAUGGAUAGCCGACCUGAGAGGGUGAUCGGCCACACUGGGACUGAGAUACGGCCCAGACUCCUACGGGAGGCAGCAGUGGGGAAUUUUGCGCAAUGGGGGAAACCCUGACGCAGCGACGCCGCGUGGAGGAUGAAGGCCCUUGGGUUGUAAACUCCUGUCAGGAAGGACGAACGGCAGGGUAGUUAAUACCUGCUCUGUUUGACGGUACUUCCAGAGGAAGCUCCGGCUAACUCCGUGCCAGCAGCCGCGGUAAGACGGAGGGAGCAAGCGUUGCUCGGAAUCACUGGGCGUAAAGGGCGUGUAGGCGGGAUGGUCAGUCGGAUGUGAAAGCCCCGGGCUCAACCCGGGAAGUGCAUUCGAUACUGCCGUUCUUGAGUGUGGUAGAGGAGAGCGGAAUUCCUGGUGUAGCGGUGAAAUGCGUAGAUAUCAGGAAGAACACCUGUGGCGAAGGCGGCUCUCUGGACCAAUACUGACGCUGAGGCGCGAAAGCUAGGGGAGCGAACGGGAUUAGAUACCCCGGUAGUCCUAGCCGUAAA
rnacentral:rRNA from 1 species